rnacentral:rRNA from 1 species
AAACCGGGAGAUAGCUGGUUCUCCCCGAAAGCUAUUUAGGUAGCGCCUCGUGAAUUCAUCUCCGGGGGUAGAGCACUGUUUCGGCAAGGGGGUCAUCCCGACUUACCAACCCGAUGCAAACUGCGAAUACCGGAGAAUGUUAUCACGGGAGACACACGGCGGGUGCUAACGUCCGUCGUGAAGAGGGAAACAACCCAGACCGCCAGCUAAGGUCCCAAAGUCAUGGUUAAGUGGGAAACGAUGUGGGAAGGCCCAGACAGCCAGGAUGUUGGCUUAGAAGCAGCCAUCAUUUAAAGAAAGCGUAAUAGCUCACUGGUCGAGUCGGCCUGCGCGGAAGAUGUAACGGGGCUAAACCAUGCACCGAAGCUGCGGCAGCGACGCUUAUGCGUUGUUGGGUAGGGGAGCGUUCUGUAAGCCUGCGAAGGUGUGCUGUGAGGCAUGCUGGAGGUAUCAGAAGUGCGAAUGCUGACAUAAGUAACGAUAAAGCGGGUGAAAAGCCCGCUCGCCGGAAGACCAAGGGUUCCUGUCCAACGUUAAUCGGGGCAGGGUGAGUCGACCCCUAAGGCGAGGCCGAAAGGCGUAGUCGAUGGGAAACAGGUUAAUAUUCCUGUACUUGGUGUUACUGCGAAGGGGGGACGGAGAAGGCUAUGUUGGCCGGGCGACGGUUGUCCCGGUUUAAGCGUGUAGGCUGGUUUUCCAGGCAAAUCCGGAAAAUCAAGGCUGAGGCGUGAUGACGAGGCACUACGGUGCUGAAGCAACAAAUGCCCUGCUUCCAGGAAAAGCCUCUAAGCAUCAGGUAACAUCAAAUCGUACCCCAAACCGACACAGGUGGUCAGGUAGAGAAUACCAAGGCGCUUGAGAGAACUCGGGUGAAGGAACUAGGCAAAAUGGUGCCGUAACUUCGGGAGAAGGCACGCUGAUAUGUAGGUGAAGU